rnacentral:rRNA from 1 species
UACGUAGGGGGCGAGCGUUGUCCGGAUUUAUUGGGCGUAAAGAGCUCGUAGGCGGUUUCGUAAGUCGGGUGUGAAAACUCCAGGCUCAACCUGGAGACGCCACCCGAUACUGCGAUGACUAGAGUCCGGUAGGGGAGUGUGGAAUUCCUGGCGUAGCGGUGAAAUGCGCAGAUAUCAGGAGGAACACCAACGGCGAAGGCAGCACUCUGGGCCGGAACUGACGCUGAGGCGCGAAAGCGUGGGGAGCAAA